GGUCCUUCGUUGGGCCCACGUCACGCCGCGCACCCCCUCGCGGCUCCUAGACGCGGAAGCACCGCCUCCCACCCGCUGUCUCUUUCGUUCGCCUUUUUCUCCACGGAGGCGCCGGAGGAGGGCGGGGAGAGCUGGGCUUCAGUGGAGUUGAAAGCUACGGUGGACGAGGAGGAGGUCCAGCGCCGGUAAGUCGGCCGGCGGGGGGCGAGGCGCGGCUCCCAACUCCCGUCGGAGCACGGAGCACCGCCCCUCGCCUGCACUGCCUCCGCGGUGAGUUCCAGAUAUGGGCUUCAGUGGGGAAAAGAGCUAGGAGGGGAAAUGAGCUGGGCCUCCGGGCGGAGCAGCGCCCGCCCUCUGCGCCCUGUGUUCUCCUGCUGUUCACUGUCUCUCUGUGUUGUUCCAGUCAAGUUCGUCCUCCUGGUAUAGCUGAUAUAUGUUCCUUGUUUGUUAGUUUUGUUCGAUGCUUGUGCUUUUGUGCCAGAAUGUUCAGAGAUUUUAGAUAGCUGGGCUCAUGUUUUACUGGUACAGAGCAGGGCAUAGGUUGGAAUGGUUCAUGUACAUCUGAAAUAUCGGAUUGUGCUGUGUAAAGACCAGAUUUAUUUUCAGUGAAAUGUAAUAUAGACCUUCAGGUAUUAUUGUGUGCUGGUACAAAGCAGCACAGCUUCGUGCUA